AUAGCUGGGGGUGCUUUAAGGCUGAGAGGCAUGGUGUGCCAACCCUUUGAACUUGAUGUGGAUAAUACCAACGCAGGAAAGCAGAU
rnacentral:ncRNA from 1 species